GAUUGACCUCGGAUCAGGUAGGGAUACCCGCUGAACUUAAGCAUAUCAAUAAGCGGAGGAAAAGAAACCAACAGGGAUUGCCUCAGUAACGGCGAGUGAAGCGGCAACAGCUCAAAUUUGAAAUCUGGCUCCUUCGGGGCCCGAGUUGUAAUUUGUAGAGGACGUUUCGGGUGCGGCCCGGUCUAAGUCCCUUGGAACAGGGCGUCAUAGAGGGUGAGAAUCCCGUAUGUGACCGGUGACCAACCCCAUGUGAAACCCCUUCGACGAGUCGAGUUGUUUGGGAAUGCAGCUCAAAAUGGGUGGUAAAUUCCAUCUAAAGCUAAAUACUGGCCAGAGACCGAUAGCGCACAAGUAGAGUGAUCGAAAGAUGAAAAGCACUUUGGAAAGAGAGUCAAACAGUACGUGAAAUUGUUGAAAGGGAAGCGCUGGCAACCAGACCUGCCCCGGGCGAUCAGCGGGUGUUCUCACCCGUGCACUCGCCCGCGAUCAGGCCAGCAUCGGUUUCGGCGGUCGGAUACAGACCCGGGGAACGUGGCUCUCUUCGGGGAGUGUUAUAGCCCCGGGUGCAAUGCGGCCAGCCGGGACCGAGGACCGCGCUUCGGCUAGAUGCUGGCGUA
rnacentral:rRNA from 1 species